GGGAUGGGCAAGGGGCUCAUUAAAUGCUUUGCAGGUUAUUUCUCUCACCAAAUUUUGCUUUUCAGUUUUUGAAAUGCUCGAUCAUCCCCAAUUCCUCAUUGAAGAGAAGAGAGAAAGAGAGAGAGAGAGAGACUAGAGAUUUUGAACUGCCCACUCAUCCCCAAUUCCUCGGUUCCUCACGAACCCUAACAAAAAAAUCCAUUGUUUCUCACAAUCGACGCUGCCAAGUUCCAAGGUUGUUGUAGGCGAUAGGGUUUUCUUAGCAGUCAGCGACGACGGUGGUUCCAAGGUUGUUGUUGUCAUCGGUGGUCAUUAAAGGUCAGAUCCGUCUUCCGACGGCUAGGGUUCCGUCAUGAAUCACUGGUAGUAACAAACGUUGACAAUUGACAUAGUCCAGUCCAUACUAAUUUCAAGCUCUGUGUUUCCGGUUGAAGUAUCAAACAUUGAGAGAGGCAUGGUAUAUGAAGAUUUGUAAAAUGUGUUUGAACUGUUAAGCCUCCAGUUCUGGUGAAAUAAAGAUUAUGGUCAACGUAAUGUUGCUAGCAUUCAAUAGCUAACUCUACAUCCCAGAUUGCAAAUGGACCUAAAGUUCUGAGUACUUGUGUGUUGGCGAACGUUACACCCAAAAACAAUUGCACUUGAAGAGGAAAGAUAGCGGCAUGUUCAAGGAUAAACAAUACAGUAGUGGUGGCUCGGUACAUUCAUUACAGAUUGUUGGUUCGAAUGGAGCUCAACGCAUAUCAAAGGUUUGCUUCUGAAGUACAAAGAAGCACAUGGGACUCGAGGGUUGCACCUCAUAGCAGUCCGAGUGACAUGUCAAAUGGGAAGGAAGCGACUUAUAAGCUUUGCUAACAAUUCUAACAAAGACUGGACAGAGGUGACUCACAAAGUAUAUUAUGAUGUUGAGAUUGCUGGAAAACUUUCUAGUAUGCCAUAGUUUCCUUUCUAAUAUUAACUUAUGGGUCAUGCUUGGUAGCUUAAUAGUGAUCAUUUAUUCUUAAGGCACACACGUAUACAGCCUAUGAAAAUAUUUCUUACAAAUCAAUAACAAUAAAAAAAAUUAUAUGUUAUAUAUGGCGGGCUCCCACCAAUAACCUGGGUCUUGUAUGGCCUAUGGAGAGAAGCACCCAUAUCCCCCCUACAAAGCAAAGAAAAAUUAUAAAAAAUCAUUAUGAAUGAGUGGUAAUCUUGCGAUGGUUGCUUUGAGAAACGCUUAUCAUGGUGGAAGUGCUGGUACUAUUGGAGUCGCAGCGAGCGCAGCCGCAAGAUAAUAAUAACAAAUAACAUCAUCCUGUUCGGUUUUGCGUAGAAGAACUUGACAACAUUAAAACAUCACCCAUUCAGAGAUGAACGCCUGAAAACGAGCGCAGCCGCAACGAUGGUUUUCAACCGUUCAUCUCGGAAUGGGUGUUGUUUUAAUGUUGUUUGAUUCUUCGACACAGAACUGGACAGGAUAAUGUUAUCGUCCCAAUGAUUGAUUUCGAUAUCUCGAAGAACCGGCCAGAUCCUAUAACAUACGGCGCUCAAGAGGACUGGUUGUCUAACUCGAAAGACAAUUCUUGAAUGGUCACCGUUCGCUUCAAUAGUUAACCUGAUCCAACAGUUUGAAGACAUCGGUUCACACGUGACAAAGAUAAUCAUAUACAACUUAUGGCUCAAUGACGAAGGCCUUCUUCAUUCGUUAAGGGCAUACACUUCUAAGUUGUACCUUAGAAAGUUCAACAACUUCAAAAUCAUCUAGAGGGGGAAGCCCGUAGAGCAGUAUACUAUAGCAGAUGACUUAAGAAACCCGCAAGUAACCCUCUCCAGACAACACAUUUCAUCUUUGUAGGGGUGAGAUAGGUGCUUCUCUCCAAGGGCAUACAAGCUUGGCGGCCGCCCGCCGUAUUUAACGUAUAAAAAACAUUAUAUGUUAAAUAUUGCGGGCUGCCGCCAAUAACUUGUGUCUUGUAUGCCCUAUGGAGAGAAGCACCCAUCUUCUUCCUACAAAGCAAAGAAAAAUUAUAAAAAAGCAUUACCGUGAGAUUAACAAAGAAACAAAUCGUUGUAAUUAUUGUUACAAAUUUAUAAUGUUUAUUUUUUAUCGAUUAAUGUUUAUUGUUGUAA